UACGGAGGGCGCAAGCGUUGUUCGGAAUUACUGGGCGUAAAGCGCGUGUAGGUGGCCUGGCAAGUCGGGUGUGAAAUCCCGGAGCUCAACUCCGGAACUGCAUCCGAUACUGUCAGGCUAGAGUCUCGGAGAGGAUGGCGGAAUUUCCGGUGUAGAGGUGAAAUUCGUAGAUAUCGGAAGGAACACCAGUGGCGAAGGCGGCCGUCUGGACGAUGACUGACACUGAGACGCGAAAGCGUGGGGAGCAAACAGG
rnacentral:rRNA from 1 species